GCUUGCAUAGCUCCAAUGGUAGAGCAAUUCCAUGGUAAGGAAGAGGUUAUCGGUUCAACUCCGAUUGUGAGCACCA
rnacentral:tRNA from 5 species